rnacentral:rRNA from 1 species
AUUGAACGCUGGCGGCAGGCCUAACACAUGCAAGUCGAGCGGCAGCGGAAAGUAGCUUGCUACUUUGCCGGCGAGCGGCGGACGGGUGAGUAAUGUCUGGGAAACUGCCUGAUGGAGGGGGAUAACUACUGGAAACGGUAGCUAAUACCGCAUAACGUCGCAAGACCAAAGAGGGGGACCUUCGGGCCUCUUGCCAUCAGAUGUGCCCAGAUGGGAUUAGCUAGUAGGUGGGGUAACGGCUCACCUAGGCGACGAUCCCUAGCUGGUCUGAGAGGAUGACCAGCCACACUGGAACUGAGACACGGUCCAGACUCCUACGGGAGGCAGCAGUGGGGAAUAUUGCACAAUGGGCGCAAGCCUGAUGCAGCCAUGCCGCGUGUAUGAAGAAGGCCUUCGGGUUGUAAAGUACUUUCAGCGGGGAGGAAGGUGUUGUGGUUAAUAACCACAGCAAUUGACGUUACCCGCAGAAGAAGCACCGGCUAACUCCGUGCCAGCAGCCGCGGUAAUACGGAGGGUGCAAGCGUUAAUCGGAAUUACUGGGCGUAAAGCGCACGCAGGCGGUCUGUCAAGUCGGAUGUGAAAUCCCCGGGCUCAACCUGGGAACUGCAUUCGAAACUGGCAGGCUAGAGUCUUGUAGAGGGGGGUAGAAUUCCAGGUGUAGCGGUGAAAUGCGUAGAGAUCUGGAGGAAUACCGGGUGGCGAAGGCGGCCCCCUGGACAAAGACUGACGCUCAGUGCGAAAGCGUGGGGAGCAAACAGG